rnacentral:rRNA from 1 species
AUUGAACGCUGGCGGAGUGCUUUACACAUGCAAGUCGAACGGCAGCACGGGGCAACCUGGUGGCGAGUGGCGAACGGGUGAGUAAUACAUCGGAACGUGCCCAAUCGUGGGGGAUAACGUAGCGAAAGUUACGCUAAUACCGCAUACGAUCUACGGAUGAAAGCGGGGGAUCGCAAGAACUCGCGCGAAUGGAGCGGCCGAUGUCAGAUUAGGUAGUUGGUGGGGUAAAGGCUCACCAAGCCAACGAUCUGUAGCUGGUCUGAGAGGACGACCAGCCACACUGGGACUGAGACACGGCCCAGACUCCUACGGGAGGCAGCAGUGGGGAAUUUUGGACAAUGGGCGCAAGCCUGAUCCAGCCAUUCCGCGUGCAGGAUGAAGGCCUUCGGGUUGUAAACUGCUUUUGUAUGGAACGAAACGGCUCUCUCUAAUACAGGGGGCUAAUGACGGUACCGUAAGAAUAAGCACCGGCUAACUACGUGCCAGCCGCCGCGGUAAUAC